rnacentral:misc_RNA from 1 species
UGAGGAGGGUAAUGAGGCUGAUGUUAGAUCGAAGACAAGGCUUGUUGUUCCAAAUAGCUCCUGUGGUGCUAUAAUUGGAAAAGGAGGAGUCACUAUAAAAUCAUUUAUUGAAGAUUCCGGGGCUGGAAUCAAGAUAUCCCCGCAAGAUCAAAAUAUGGUCGGGUUGAAUGAUAGGCUUGUUACAGUGACUGGAUCUCUUGAUGAACAGAUGCGGGCAAUCGAUUUGAUAUUGUCAAAGUUAUCUGAAGAUGCUUAUUAUCCACAAA